AAUUUUUUUUGAGUAUACAGUGUAGCUAAAAACAUCAAGUCCUAGAGUACUCAAGUGUAACAGAAAUCAUUGUGUGUGUGUGUGUGUGUGUGUGUGUGUGUGUGUGUGUGUGUGUGUGUGUGUGUGUGAGAGAGAGAGAGAGAGAGAGAGAGAGAGAGAGAGAGAGAGAGAGAGAGAGAGAGAGAGUGAGUGUGUGAGUAUACAGGAAGUGCUUACUUAAAACAAAUCAAAAUAUUUUAUCAUCUUUAAUGAUUAAUGAAUUAUUACUUCCACUAAUGGGCAAAAACAAGACCAUCAUGAUUAAUUGAGGAUUCUAGAGUGUUUGACCUAUUUCCUUCUCACAGAUCCAGUGUAGUGAGUAUGAACAUGGAGCAUCAUUCCAGGCCUUCAUUGGAUUAUUGGAUUAUGGACAGCUACGCAGUCCUCUGUAGAAAACAUAUCAUUUGGCUCCCCGUCCAUCCAGUACCUAUAAAAACAUGCACUUUUUCACCUUCUACAUACUGUAUCAGGUGUAAGAAGGGAUAUUACUAUCCAUUAAUGAUCUCAUUUGUAUCCUUUACUGCAAUAGUAAAUUUUAAAUUGGAUACCCUUUUGUCAGUGUGGUCUCAUUCAGCCAUUUCCAGAGCCCUUCUGUAUGGUCAUCCGUCAAGCCUAUCCAAAAGCCAUUCGAAUAACUGAAUUGUGGGUUGGACGGAAAUGCUUUUAAGCUGGCUACGAUGAACUCCUAUGCAGAAGAGCAGAUAUUAAAGCCUCUCUGGAGUUGUUGAAGAUGCAGCAAAGUAAAAACAUGUGUUGUCCAUCUGCACCCAGUUGGCACAGAGAUUUCUUGCCUUGUACACCGUGGGUAACCUGUUGUGGAGUGGAGGCUUUGGCACGGUUUAUGAAAGAACAUGCAAUAAAGAUGGACAACAGGUUGCAAUUAAAUACAUCACCAAGGAUGCCUCAGAUGUGUACAUCACCAUUCCUGGCGAGUCCUGCAAGCUGCAUCUAAAGGUGGCUUUAAUGCAAAUUAUAUCAAAGCCACCCCACAAACACAACGUUCUGCAGCUUCUGGAUUGGUUCAGUAUGCCCAACUGCCUCCUGUUGGUGCUGGAGAGACCCGUCCCUUGCAUGGACGUAUAUCAUCUGUGCAUGAGUCAAAAAGGCGUACUAGAUGAACUACUGGACAAAAUCAUCAUGCUGCAGUACAUAGUUACUGAUGCACUCACUGCUACUGCCAUAAUCGCUACGUUUUCCAUCGUGAUAUCAAGGCGGAAAACCUUCUUUUCAACACCGACACUAUGGACAUCAAACUCAUUGACUUUGGCUGUGGCGAUUUGUGGCAGGACAUACCCUACGCAGAAUAUGCAGGAACUCCAGAUUUCUGGCCUCCAGAAUGGAUUCUGCAACAAGAAUAUUAUGCCUACCCUGCUACUGUCUGGAGUCUCGGUAUACUCCUCUUUAGUCUAGUCUUCGGAGAAAUGCCCUUCAUGACUGAAGAGGAAAUUGUUGCUGGGACCCUGAAUUUGAAGCCUAGCCUGUCUGAAGCCUGCCGCCAUCUGAUAGAGUGGUGCUUGGAACAGGACCCUACCAAAUGGCCAAGCCUCCAGCAGAUGAGCAAACACAAGUGGUUCACAGAAGACUUUUAAGACCAGGUUCAGACACUGCAUAGUUGGCAUUGAAUCGGCACAUAAAACAACAACCAAUUAUAUUGACUGAGAAUAAAUGAAGAUCAGUGUGCCUGACUGGCUGCUGUUUGCUUUUAUUCAUUUUUAUCAUCUUGAUGAUCUUCUACUUGGAGCUUUCUGCAUUUAUAACUCCAUUUCUGCUGCUGUGGAUGGACACACAUGGAUAGCUUAAAGAUUUGCACUUCCCAACAACAAUUUAUGCCAAGUCUCACUGUUGCUUCAAUAGAUAAUCUCAUAUGAAUACUGUAGACUUGCACUUAAGAACUACUGCUGUAUUCAUGAAGACUGAGCUCAUCCCGGGAUUCUUAUUCACAGUAUGCACAUACUGAAUCCUUUUUUAAUAUAUUUAGAACUAUUGAACAAUGUAUAGUGUUGUAUAUUGAUUUACUGGUGUUCAGCCGAAGGGUCAUGACAAAGUUCUAAAAUACAUAAAUAGGCAAAGUUUAUUCUAAUAGAAAAACUGCUGCAUCAAUGGCAAGAACAAAAGAGGAAAGUCUACCUGUGCAAUCCAAAUGGAGAUUAAGAUACCAUUUCAGGAAACAUACAGGAAGAGUGUAGUCUCGCAUGAUCAGAUGUAAACAAAAAAGAAACUCAAAAUGAUUGUUCACAACACUUCUGAGCAAAGACUUUUCUUUAAAUGGCAAUAACAAUGGCAAAUAAUUAGAAGCAGCUGAUAUGAUGUACAAUUUUUAGUUUUUAAAGUUUUUAGAAUUUUGUAUUGAAACUUUUAAAAUGUAUUAUUAUAAAAAUUUGUUUUUUGUGUUUGUUUCAAGUAUUUUUAAAGUUUAAAAUAUAAUUAAAAUAUUUAUUUUUGUACACGUGGGUAAAAAAAAAAAGUUUUUUCUUUUUUUUUUUAAUGCAACUAACGUUUUGCUGGCACUUGCAUAUAUACUGUAAUGAAUAUUGUAGAAAUGUCUUCAAGUAUUGUGAUAUAUUUUUUGUCAUAUAUCGCCCACCAUCUCAGGGAGUUUUUCCUUUGCCACUGCCACCACUGGCUCACUCAUCAGGUAUCUAAAUAUACAUCCACAUUUCUAUAAAUCUGCUUUGUGAAAAUGUCGAUUGUCAAAAUCCCUAAACAAAUAAACUGAAGGACUCCCUGUUGUGGAAACUGUACCCACCAUUUGCAGUGACUGGUGAAAAAAAGAGAAAAAAGAAAACCUCCUUUAAACGUUUUAAUGUAAGUUAAAUUAAAACACGAAUAAAAAGUGUAAAAAUGGUACU